GAUUGACGGGGGCCGCACAAGCGGACGGAACAUGUGGUUUACUCGAUGAUACGAGAAGAACAUUAGCCGGGCUGAACUGCCAGCGAACGACUCAGAGAUGAUGAGCCCUUGGGGGCGGUGGUGGAGGUGCUGCAUGGUGUCGUCAGCUCGUGCCGUGAGGUGUCGGCUUAAGUGCCAUAACGAGCGCAACCCUUUUCUUUAGUUGCCAUCAGGUAAUGCUGGGCACUCUGGAGAUACAAGACCACAAGUAAGGUGUGAGGAAGGUGGGGAUGACGUCAAAUCAGCACGGCCCUUACGUCCGGGGCUACACACGUGUUACAAUGGGUGGUACAGAGAGUCAACCGCCGGCAACGUCGGUUUAAUCACUAAAGCCCACUCCCCAGUUCGGAUUGGGGUCUGCAACCCGACCCCAUGAAGCUGGAUUCGCUAGUAAUCGCGCAUCAGCCAUGGCGCGGUGAAUCACGUUCCCGGCCCUUGUCACACACCGCCC
rnacentral:rRNA from 1 species